rnacentral:rRNA from 1 species
UGACGAGGAGCUUGCUCCUCUGAUUUAGCGGCGGACGGGUGAGUAACACGUGGGCAACCUGCCCUGCAGACUGGGAUAACUUCGGGAAACCGGAGCUAAUACCGGAUAAUCCAUUUUACUUCAUGGUGAAAUGUUGAAAGGCGCUUUCGCGCCACUGCAGGAUGGGCCCGCGGUGCAUUAGCUAGUUGGUGGGGUAACGGCCUACCAAGGCGACGAUGCAUAGCCGACCUGAGAGGGUGAUCGGCCACAUUGGGACUGAGACACGGCCCAAACUCCUACGGGAGGCAGCAGUAGGGAAUCUUCCACAAUGGACGAAAGUCUGAUGGAGCAACGCCGCGUGAGUGAUGAAGGUUUUCGGAUCGUAAAACUCUGUUGUAAGGGAAGAACAAGUACGUUAGGAAAUGAACGUACCUUGACGGUACCUUAUUAGAAAGCCACGGCUAACUACGUGCCAGCAGCCGCGGUAAUACGUAGGUGGCAAGCGUUGUCCGGAUUUAUUGGGCGUAAAGCGCGCGCAGGUGGUUUCUUAAGUCUGAUGUGAAAUCUCGCGGCUCAACCGCGAGCGGUCAUUGGAAACUGGGGAACUUGAGUGCAGAAGAGGAUAGUGGAAUUCCAAGUGUAGCGGUGAAAUGCGUAGAGAUUUGGAGGAACACCAGUGGCGAAGGCGACUGUCUGGUCUGUAACUGACACUGAGGCGCGAAAGCGUGGGGAGCAAACAGGAUUAGAUACCCUGGUAGUCCACGCCGUAAACGAUGAGUGCUAAGUGUUAGGGGGUUUCCGCCCCUUAGUGCUGCAGCUAACGCAUUAAGCACUCCGCCUGGGGAGUACGACCGCAAGGUUGAAACUCAAAGGAAUUGACGGGGGCCCGCACAAGCGGUGGAGCAUGUGGUUUAAUUCGAAGCAACGCGAAGAACCCUUACCAGGUCUUGACAUCCCAGUGACCACUCUAGAGAUAGAGUUUUCCCUUCGGGGACAUU